GGCUUGCCUUGUCCAGAGCCCCAGCAGUCCAGCUCACCCAGCACAAUCAUUACUUAAAUUACUAGGCUUGUCUGCAAAGGCUCUGAGUCUGUGACCUUCAGGAACCAAGCCUCCAGGGGAGGGGAUGUUCUAUUUUUGGACGUGGAUAAUGAGCAUGAGGAGCAGGCAAGCCUUGCUCCGCUCCUGGCUUCGUGUCUUCUCCAACUUGGCGAGUCAGGGUAUCUGCCUCCCUCCUCCUCUUUUGCCCCUGGUCCUCAAUAAUUGGACUUCCAUAGAGGAAGCCUGAGCAGGUGCAAGUUUGGAUGAAAGAGGGGUACGCACCUAGGACAGCAUCUCCAAAGUCCCCUGUGUGUGUCUGUCCACCCUCAGGCACUGUCUGGCCGGGGACCAGGGCCAACUCACUGACUGUCUGUUGUUUUGGGAAACACCCAAGAACACAUUUUGAGAAACGUGAAAGUAGAAAAUAUUUCAAAACAAAAAGCACGGGGAAACCCGUGCCCACACCCAUCCCCUCAGCCUCCAAGCUCUGUACUGGGUUGCUAUGCUGUGGCUGCAGCCCUGCUUUUCUUCCCUGACUGCAGGGGUGCUGGGUCCUGCUUCUGCCACCCUGGCCACCGUUGCAGUCCCACUUUCUCUAGGACCUGCCUGAGUCAGGUGAUCUGACAAGCGGCUUCUCUUUCUUCAGGAGGUGAGGUCGGCAGACUAGGAUUCCUGAGCAAACCAGGAAAGUUCCAUCCUGCUAGUAUCCAGGAUGUGGGGCUGGGCAAAGGCCAGGCCGCAGCCCACUUCGGGCCCAAAUGGAAGAUGAUGUCAGAGGGAGCCAGGGAGUGUUUCCACCGAGUGACUCUUCCCAAUGUCUGUGGCUGGCAAAAUGGUUAGCCUGGCCCAGUAUCGUCACAGAGGAAUAGAAGCAGCUGGGUUUCCAGGUCACGAGAGAGGAGGAGCCUGUGAGUGGACAUGAUGGGCUGUGUCCAGAGGGGACUUUGCAGAUGUGAAUAGGAAUCCAGAGGUGGCCUGGGACUGGUGGCCACACCUUUAUUCCCAGCGCUUGGGAGGCAGAAGCAAGAGCAUCUCUGUGAGUUCAAGGCCAGCCUGGUCUAUAUAGCAAGUUUCAGGACAGCCAGAGAUAUAUCAGUGAGACCCUGUCUCAAAAAACAAAACCAAUAAAAAGAAUCUGGACAUGGCAGGGAGGCUGGG
rnacentral:lncRNA from 1 species